rnacentral:rRNA from 1 species
GACGAACGCUGGCGGCGUGCUUAACACAUGCAAGUCGAACGGAAAGGCCCUGCUUUUGUGGGGUGCUCGAGUGGCGAACGGGUGAGUAACACGUGAGUAACCUGCCCUUGACUUUGGGAUAACUUCAGGAAACUGGGGCUAAUACCGGCUAGGAGCUCCUGCUGCAUGGUGGGGGUUGGAAAGUUUCGGCGGUUGGGGAUGGACUCGCGGCUUAUCAGCUUGUUGGUGGGGUAGUGGCUUACCAAGGCUUUGACGGGUAGCCGGCCUGAGAGGGUGACCGGCCACAUUGGGACUGAGAUACGGCCCAGACUCCUACGGGAGGCAGCAGUGGUGAAUAUUGCACAAUGGGCGGAAGCCUGAUGCAGCAACGCCGCGUGCGGGAUGACGGCCUUCGGGUUGUAAACCGCUUUCGCCUGUGACGAAGCGUGAGUGACGGUAAUGGGUAAAGAAGCACCGGCUAACUACGUG